AGGUCCAGCACUCUGCCGGGACUAUCCAGGCGCUUCAUGAUGCUGCUACGGGGCGGACGAAGCUUGCUUUCCUUCCCACUUUCUUCCCGCCCAGAAAGUUGACUAGAAUCGUGCAAAGGACCCGGGAUGAAUGCAAAAUGACAGCCUGAAGUAGGAUUAAUGACGCUUCCUUUGAUGUUAAUGGUGGAGUCUUUUGUCCCAUUUUUGUGACUCAAACGUUCAUCAAUCCGCAGUUAUUUGUCACUUCCCUGCAAGUCCUCUUAUGCAGCGUUAAAAUAUGUAAAUCGAAAGUUAUGUGUAGCAGAGUAAAUUUAAAAAGCAAUUAUUAAUAGCGAUAAAAAUAGAGAAAGAGGUUAUGAUCUGGCCCAACUGGUUUACAUAGGUAAAGAUAGGGGUGGGGGAGGUGAACUUAAAGAUCAAAUUGGCUAAUUAUGACUCGGGAAUGUAGACAGCAGCCCAUUCUAUAAAAUACAAGAGCUCCCUAAGGUGAGCAGUAGGGAUCAGCAGUAUUGGCCAAAAUGAAAAGAACCUAAGAAGAAGAAAGGCCCAAAAGACUAGUACUUCAGAGUUACUUCAGAGAGGAUUGACCUGUCGUCUGUUUCUGGUAUCAGGGUCCUACCAAUUGAUUAGUUUUGUUUUGUUUUUUUGUUUUGGUUAGAAGGAGCCAGGCAUUUCAAAAGCCAGUUUGAUUAAGUGAUAUAUUGAGCAUGAGAGACAGUUCUGGCCAGAUCUGAUCUUCCAGAGCUCUGAGGCAAAAGCCUAGUCCAAAAUGACUCUAUAAAUUACACUUAACAAAGUGUGUUUGCCAGUGUUCUCUGGAGGAACAGAACUGAUAAGAUGAAUACAUACAUAAAAAAUUUAUGAAACUAGCUUAAAGUAAUAACAGUUGUCUCACCCCAGAAGAACUAAACCCCUAGUAGCUGUUCCAUCCACGAGGCUGGUUACCUUGCCAGCCAGAGUAGUCCUAUAAUGGCUGUCUCACAUUGGAAAAAUGAACAGCCUGGUAGAGCGUCUGUCUACCAGGCUCAGUGCCACAGCAGUUCCUGUAUACCUGGAGAGUCCCUGGCCUUCAGCCAACAAUGGAAGUUUGGAAAUAAUAGUUUGGGUUUCACCAAAGACAGCAGCAGCAAGCAAGCUCAGCUGCCAGGGGAAGAUGGAAGACCAAGCAAGCUAAAGGGAUAUCAUACUCUCUCUACUCUGCUCCUGGGCCUAUUGGCAGAAAUGCUGCACGCGCUUAAGGUAGCUUCUUUGAUAUCAACAGAGACGAUGAGGACCAUGCGGCUCUCUGGUCAGUCGUUGCUGAUUUGUGGCAAGUUGUGGUGAAAACCAGCCACCACACUAAGAGAAACUAGACAGGAGUAUGUGUGAGUUCCACAGGUGAGCUCUGGAGUGAGAGCCUAGGCUUUGCACUGCUUUAGUGGGUCUGGUCAUCAGCUUUCUCCUGGGGCUUCCACUGUAGUACUUCCCAAGGUCUCCUCUCCCAUCCCCAAAAUUGACACCAUCUGGGCAAUUUCUAGAAGUGUAGAUGUAAAGGAGAAGCAACCGGGUGACUCCACUCUGAUUCCUUCUAUAAGCAAGUUGUUCCUCGACAGCCAGGAGCCUCCUCUCUGUUUAUAAAAUAAAGUAUGGUCCAAUACUAGAAUACAGAUGAAAGCCAACUCAGUUUCUGAGCACGUCUCAUCAUUUUCUGACACUUCAUCUUCUGAUAUUCCUGGGAUGGUUGUCAUUCUAUUGAAUUAAUAAACAAGACGGGGCUAGAGAGAUGGCUCAGUGAUGAAGAACACUGACUGCUCUUCCAGAGGACCUGGUUAGAUUUCCCAGCAUCCACAUGGCAACUCACAAACAUCUCUAACUCCAGAUCCAGGAAAUCGGCUGCCCUUUUCUGGCUGCUGCAGGCACCAGGCACACCCACAGUGCACAGAAAUAUGUAUAGGCGAAACACACCACCACUACCCCCAACACC
rnacentral:lncRNA from 1 species